CAGCAGCCGCGGGAAUACGGAGGGAGCUAGCGUUAUUCGGAAUUACUGGGCGUAAAGCGCACGUAGGCGGCUUAGUAAGUUAGAGGUGAAAGCCUGGAGCUCAACUCCAGAAUUGCCUUUAAGACUGCAUCGCUUGAAUCCAGGAGAGGUGAGUGGAAUUCCGAGUGUAGAGGUGAAAUUCGUAGAUAUUCGGAAGAACACCAGUGGCGAAGGCGGCUCACUGGACUGGUAUUGACGCUGAGGUGCGAAAGCGUGGGGAGCAAACAGGAUUAGAUACCCCUGUAGUCCCUGUCUCUUAUAC
rnacentral:rRNA from 1 species